GCCCUUGUAGUUCAAUGGAUAGAAUGGGGGAUUCCGGAUCCCUUGAUGUGGGUUCGAUUCCCACCAAGGGCG
rnacentral:tRNA from 3 species